rnacentral:lncRNA from 1 species
AAAUAUUUAGUAGAUUGUUAAAUAUGUGAAAUGAAAGUCAAUAUUGUAUUUUGCAAUCGGACCAUGAAAAGUGGAAGGUCAGAUUUAGGUCAAAGAGUGGGUCAUUAAUUAAUCUCCAACUAAUAAUGUUUUGAUGACCCAACAACACAAGCAAGCAAGCUCUUGCAAUCCGAUUUGAUCGUCCCUAAUUGUUCUUUAAAUGAUAAGUAAUGACCCACCAACGUCCAUCCAUCAUCUUAAGCGUGCUGCUUUUGCUAUCACCAAAUAGAGCAAUUAGAGAUCAUCAAUCAUCAUCAUCUCCUGAUUACUUGUAGAUUGUUCAUAUGAUAAUAAUUUGGAAGCUGGUCUCUUCAACAAAGCUCCCCCAGUGCACCUUCUCUCAUCAAGAAAGUUGUUGCCCAAGCUUCAAUCUUUAGUAUAUGGAAACAGAGGAACAAUAUGUUUCACAACUUACACUCACUUCGUAAUACCAUCACAGCUCGAAGACACAAUGGCAUACGCUGAUGCUGCUUUGGAUCCUAUAGUUUUGUUUUUCUCCCAGAACUUUCUCUCAAAUUUAUUCUAGCUUUGUAUUCUACAUAGAUAUUACUAUUUUGUAAAACCUUUAUUUCAUUUCUCUAAUGAUAUCAUAUUAACAUAUUCCAGCAACAAAAAAAAAAAAAAAAAAACCUCCUUCAUCUUCCACUAAUCUAGCGCGUAUUUAACCAAGUGGCACUUAUCUUUUAAGUCUUCGUUACAACCACAAAAUACAAAAUAUAGUAUCAUAACGUAGGACAUGGACUAAGUUAACAAAACACCAACUAAAUAAUUUUUAUUAUUAUUUUCGAAACAGGUGAUUAAACUUU